rnacentral:rRNA from 1 species
GCACAGAGGAGCUUGCUCCUUGGGUGACGAGCGGCGGACGGGUGAGUAAAGUCUGGGGAUCUGCCUGAUGGAGGGGGAUAACUACUGGAAACGGUAGCUAAUACCGCAUGACGUCUUCGGACCAAAGUGGGGGACCUUCGGGCCUCACGCCAUGAGAUGAACCCAGAUGGGAUUAGCUGGUAGGUGAGGUAACGGCUCACCUAGGCGACGAUCCCUAGCUGGUCUGAGAGGAUGACCAGCCACACUGGAACUGAGACACGGUCCAGACUCCUACGGGAGGCAGCAGUGGGGAAUAUUGCACAAUGGGGGAAACCCUGAUGCAGCCAUGCCGCGUGUGUGAAGAAGGCCUUCGGGUUGUAAAGCACUUUCAGCGGGGAGGAAGGCAAUAAACUUAAUAAGUUUGUUGAUUGACGUUACCCGCAGAAGAAGCACCGGCUAACUCCGUGCCAGCAGCCGCGGUAAUACGGAGGGUGCAAGCGUUAAUCGGAAUGACUGGGCGUAAAGCGCACGCAGGCGGUCUGUUAAGUUGGAUGUGAAAUCCCCGGGCUCAACCCGGGAACAGCAUUCAAAACUGACAGGCUAGAGUCUCGUAGAGGGGGGUAGAAUUCCAGGUGUAGCGGUGAAAUGCGUAGAGAUCUGGAGGAAUACCGGUGGCGAAGGCGGCCCCCUGGACGAAGACUGACGCUCAGGUGCGAAAGCGUGGGGAGCAAACAGGAUUAGAUACCCUGGUAGUCCACGCCGUAAACGAUGUCGACUUGGAGGCUGUGGUCUUGAACCGUGGCUUCCGGAGCUAACGCGUUAAGUCGACCGCCUGGGGAGUACGGCCGCAAGGUUAAAACUCAAAUGAAUUGACGGGGGCCCGCACAAGCGGUGGAGCAUGUGGUUUAAUUCGAUGCAACGCGAAGAACCUUACCUACUCUUGACAUCCAGAGAAGACUGUAGAGAUACGGUUGUGCCUUCGGGAGCUCUGAGACAGGUGCUGCAUGGCUGUCGUCAGCUCGUGUUGUGAAAUGUUGGGUUAAGUCCCGCAACGAGCGCAACCCUUAUCCUUUGUUGCCAGCGAUACGGUCGGGAACUCAAAGGAGACUGCCGGUGAUAAACCGGAGGAAGGUGGGGAUGACGUCAAGUCAUCAUGGCCCUUACGAGUAGGGCUACACACGUGCUACAAUGGCGCAUACAAAGAGAAGCGAGCCUGCGAGGGUGAGCGGACCUCAUAAAGUGCGUCGUAGUCCGGAUUGGAGUCUGCAACUCGACUCCAUGAAGUCGGAAUCGCUAGUAAUCGUAGAUCAGAAUGCUACGGUGAAUACGUUCCCGGGCCUUGUACACACCGCCCGUCACACCAUGGGAGUGGGUUGCAAAAGAAGUAGGUAGC